rnacentral:lncRNA from 1 species
GGCCGCGGGGCCCGGGCGGGGCCGGGGCGCCGGCUCGGCCUGGCAGCUCACGGGACCCCUCCUCCUUGUCCUUCCAGCCUGCAGGGCGUGCCGGUGGCUUACGACAACAUCAAAGUGGUGGGGGAGCUCGGCGACAUCUAUGACGAUCAAGGGUUCAUCCACCUGGACGUGGAGGCGGACUUCGUCAUCUUCAGCCCCAAGAAAGGGAAGAAGCUGGUGGGUGUAAUUAAUAAAGUGGCCCCUAGUCACAUUGGGUGCCUGAUCCAUGGAUGCUUCAAUGCAUCUAUCCCCAAGCCUGAACAAAUGUCCCCUGUACAGUGGCAAGAGCUGGGGUUUAAAAUAGGGGAUGAACUGAAAUUUCAAGUGUUGCACUUGGAUUCUGAUACAGCUGGGGUGUUCUUCAUUCGAGGAGGACUCACUAAAAGCAGCAUGCGGCCCAAAAAAUCUGAUGCAGUCCCUGAAAGUACAAAUGGGGAUGAAGUUCAAAAGCUUGACCACCAGGAAAAUGGCCUAAAUAACAGUGGGAAAGAUAAUGUCACAGAAGAGCCUUUAAAUGAGAUGGGUAACCUUGGGAGGGAAAAUGAAGAAGAGCCAGGUAUUGAUGCUGUGAAUGGAUUAUGUGAUGAUAAGAAGAAGAAGAAGAAAAAGAAAGAAGACAAGGACAAGGACAAGCAAGGAGAACAGGAACUUGUAUUGCCUACCAGUGACUCCAGUGGUUACCAAAGUGACCAUAAAAAGUCAAAGAAAAAGAAAAGAAAGCAUUGUGAUGAAGUUGAAGAAAGUGAAUUAUCUCAGCUGUCAGAAAAACCCAAAGCAAAAAAGAAAAGGACUGAGGUCUGAAGUGUCUUCCCUGUAUUACAUUUCAGAUGUUUUUGAUAAGUUUCAAUAAAACCCUGUUUUGAAAAUGUGUAUCACUUUUUCUUUACUACACAGUCUGCUCUGCUUGGUCAGAUGGUGUUUGUGUGAAUAUGUGCGCCAGCAGUUUGAAAGGCAGGAUCUUUUAAGGUAGUGGUAGAAGCAGUGUCUGCCUGGUUUUUUUACUGGAAAACAAGGCACAACAGAACUGGAAUGUAAUUACAGGAGCACAUGCAUCACCUCUCUGUCUGCUUUCCUGUUCCGUAUUAGCAUUAGCCAGUUGAUAGUUACAGUGUGUGCUACUCUAACUCCAUCUUUGCCAAUCAGUGUCUUGAUUUUACAAGAGUAGAUUAGGAUUAUCUUUGGGUUUCUGGGAAAUUCAUGUGAAUUCCCAGGAGGCUUAAAAGAGAAUUUUUUUUUUUAGUUUGAAUUUUCAGCUUUUGGUUGCAGCUCUUUUCAGUUGCGAGGAGCUCUGGGGAGAAAUGUAGUGUGACAUGGUUUAGUGUUUCACCAAGGCAGGAGGCUGUGAUGGCUUUGGUAUUGAUUUACCUGUUACAAGACCAGCUCUUUGAAGGCCUUGGAAGUAAACAGCAUGAAUGUGGAAACUUGCUGUUCAUCUCUGUUCCUAGAUGAUAAAACAUUUUGCUGUAGUGAUUAAUGCUGAUGCUAUUAGGUCACUUCAAUAGAAGUGUUUACAACUUCUAAUAACAUCCAUUCACAUUGAACAUGUUCUGAAUUUCAAGUGUGACAAUACUUAGGGCUCACUUUGUGUAUUAAUGUCUUUUAUACUUCUUUAAAACUCCAAAUGUACCAAGACAAAGUUACCAGCUUACAGGCUCGAUGGUAUGACAAUACAUAGUAGGCAUUUUAAAGUUAUGGCACUAUAAAGAACCAAGUUAAGACUUUUUGAAGACUUACAAGAAAGUGCACUUAAGUAGUAAUGCCAGCAGUAGCAGCAGAAACUGCAGGAUGUCCUCUUGUGUUUGCUCUUCAGUGUAGUUCAUAUUGAGAUGAAGCCAGUUUCUGAACAGUCCUGAGGUGAGCAUGAAUUGUCCCUAUUGUGUUUCUAUGUGUGAUGAUUCUGACACUUAAUUUCCAUGCAAUUUCAUAGGCACUGGCUCUUCUAUCCAUUUCUCCUGUGCUGUGACAAAACCUGAGAAGUCAGAUGAUGUUCAUAAUGUAUCAUACCAUGCUGCAGGAUCAGCUGAGGGCAGCAUUCUGGUGUGUUCAUGGUUGCAGAGAAUGACACAGAAGUCCCAUGCUGCUGUACUUCAAGUAAACUGCCAAGCUGAAGGUUGAGACAUAAUUUUGUCAGAAAUUAUGUGCUAGUUCCCCCUUUAUAUAUAUAUAUAUAUAUAUAUAUAUAAUAUAUGUAUAUUUAGGUAGUGACUUGAGGGACAAGUUGUAUGAAUGGGUAAGAAACAGAGAGGAGGAUGGCAAGCACAGAUAUUUUUUGAUGAUGCCAACAUGAAGAGAAGGAUGGAGGCAGUUACUGUUGGAGAUGAACUAGAGAUUGAGUCACAUGAUUUGAUCUCUUACUCCUUAACACUCACUGUACCUCACUUUCUCUUCAAGGCAAGGGAAACAUCUCCAGAGUCAAGCCUCACCAGCUGAUAGAAACGGUUUGUAGCACCAAAAGUCUGUUUUGCUCUCUUCUGAUUUUCAUCAACAUGCAAAGGAAGAAGACAUUCAGGGGGAAGUAGUGAAGUUGCAACUGAUGAAUCAAGUAACAAACAAUAUAAAUGCUUUCAACACUUUGCUCUUUUUCCACUUGUGCUGCUUUACUGUUCUCUUACUGGAAAUUGCUUACUGUAGUUCAGCAAACUGUGCAAACUGUUUUGUUGAUGAUUAGUCUUUUUCUGAAAGCCUACAAUAGUCUCAGUUUUGGGCCUUACUUAGAGACAGGUUUAUUUUUGGCACACAAGUUUGGCUGGCACCCAUUUGUAUCUUUUUUUGGUUUUCUUUCUUGGGUUACAACAAAAGAGAGCAAUUAAAAAUAAAUGCGAGAGCUGGCAAUUAAUGAUUCCUGAAGUUGUUUCUCCAGUGAUACAAAUACCAUAACAUGUUAAAUUCCUGCUAAGUUUUGUGUCUGUGGAAGGGGAAAAGUGAAGAAAAGAUUUCAAAAAAGAAGGAACAAAAACAUGGUUUACACAGUUGGAGGCAAUACUGGCAGCCUCAGAGCUGCACUGUUGAUGUUGCUGUAAAUACUGGUUUGAUAUUUGCUAAAUAUGGCAAGAAAACUUGGAUUUUCAAAAGUGAAUUUUCACUCUGAUCAUGAUUUAAAUCACUUGUCUCUAUUUUUUCCCCAUAAAAAGGCAAGAUUUUCUGAUGCUUGUAAUUAACAAAGGAGCUGAACUUGACACUUUCCAAUAAAGUUUCUCUGAAGUUUGAACUCUAUAAACCUUUAAGUUUCUGCAUUCCCUUGGACUACAAAUGAAGAGUUAUAUUGAAUUUUAAGUUCAGCCAAGAUUUUUGAGUAUAUAGAACAAUCAUUUAUAAAGUUUCCUGAGAGACCAGGUGACUAUUUUUUUGUACAGCCCUUCUGUUAUUUUUUUCAGGGUGCAUUCUAGUACAACUCAUGUCACAUGAGCAAAGAGAAGGUUAGAAAGUAAAAUUGUAUUUUGUCUUAUAAUUGUAUUGAUAGUUACACCAAGGUAACUGUGAUCUAGAGAAAAAAAUUUGCUGGAUUUAUUUUUUUUCUGUUUUAACAAUAAGCUUGUAACGAAGCCAAUAUUUACUUAUGGCUAUGGUUGAUAUUCUUCUGUCCUUAUUACAGAACAUGAAGUUCUAACUUAAUCAGCUAUAAGUUUCUAAAGUAGAAACUGCUACUUUGUAGUAUAAAUAUUUUGAUUCUGCGAAUGUUUCUCAGUGUAUUGUAUGCCUUUGGCAGAAGAGCAAGCAGCCUUGCAAGAAGAUAUUUUUAGCUGUCUCUAAAACAAUUGUUUUGUAUUCUCUGAAGCUUGCAAUAAUCUGCAGUGCUAACUUUUGCUCUUUGUCUUUUCCUUGCUUGUCUAAGAAACAAAUUCUUUGCUUUUGACUUGGCACUUUGCUACUGCUUUAAAUACUUAGCCCAAACAGCCCAGUGGAUGAGCUCUAGGGAAAGAUUUUUUUUAAAGGUCUUCAGCAAGCUAGCUGCCUUGUGGAAAAACAUGAGCCGUCAUCAAAUCUGCCUCUGAGUAAACAGUUUGCCUUUGGAAGCAUCCCAG